GCGAAGGUGGCGGAAUUGGUAGAGGCGCUAGCUUCAGGUGUUAGUGUCCUUACGGACGUGGGGGUUCAAGUCCCCCCCCUGCACCA
rnacentral:tRNA from 1 species